rnacentral:antisense_RNA from 1 species
CUUCAUGGAGCCGAGCCACAGGGGUUGUUCGCGGUUCUGCCCGUAGGUGGCGAGCAGGGCCGCGGCCUC